CAGUCGCCACGGGAAUACGGAGGAUCCAAGCGUUAUCCGGAUUUAUUGGGCGUAAAGGGCUCGCAGGCGGUUUCUUAAGUCUGAUGUGAAAGCCCCCGGCUCAACCGGGGAGGGUCAUUGGAAACUGGGAAACCUGAGUGCAGAAGAGGAGAGUGGAAUUCCACGUGUGGCGGUGAAAUGCGUAGAGAUGUGGAGGAACACCAGUGGCGAAGGCGACUCUCUGGUCUGUAACUGACGCUGAGGAGCGAAAGCGUGGGGAGCGAACAGGAUUAGAUACCCCAGUAGUCCCUGUCUCUUAUAA
rnacentral:rRNA from 1 species